rnacentral:lncRNA from 1 species
UUUCAAACCAUGCCCCUUCCCUGUCAUCUUCUUCAGCACACCCAUCGUCCUCCCCUUCGUCCAAACUCACCGUCAAGUCCAGCAGCGAACACCACCAUCCAUCACUGUUGGUGCUUCGUCGUCUUCUCCAGCCACCCUUGAACCAGUCGCUUCUUCAGUUAAUUUCUGAUUCUUGUUCCGAAAAUAGAGUUUGGUUGAAGAUGUAUAGAUCACACAUGAAGAUUGAGCAACAAUCCCAUUUUAUUUUUAUUAAGGAUGGGAAGCUGCUUAUCACUUCAUAGUAGACUUCUGUUGUACAUAUAAAAUAUUUCUAGUUUCCUUCGUUUCACAAUAAGAG